rnacentral:misc_RNA from 1 species
GAUGAAGAACGUAGCGAAAUGCGAUAAGUAAUGCGAAUUGCAGAAUUUCCGUGAGUCAUCGAAUCUUUGAACGCACAUUGCGCCCACUGGUAUUCCGGUGGGCAUGCCUGUUCGAGCGUCAUUAUCCUCCCUCAAAACUCCUGUUUUGGUGUUGGGCCGCGUUGGUCACCUCCGACCAACGGGCCUCAAAGACAAUGACGGCGUCCGUGGGACCCUCUUCGCAGUGAGCUUUUGUUAGCGCGCGUUGAGUUUAAAGGACCCUCCGGGCCGGUCACCUUUAUCUAUUUUACAAGGUUGACCUCGGAUCAGGUAGGAAUACCCGCUGAACUUAAGCAUAUCAAUAAGCGGAGGA